rnacentral:rRNA from 1 species
UUUAUUUAUUUUAUUAUAAUUGUUUUUUGUUAGUUUAUUUUUUAAUAAAAGAAAUUUUAUUUAUUAUUUUGUCUUAGUAUAUUUUAUAGAAUUGAUUAUUUUUGUUAUAGUUUAAUAGUAAUGUAAUUGGAUUAUGAAAUAAUUUUUUAAUUAUCAAAAAGUAGAUUUAAUUUGUUGUAUCUUUUGUAUCAGGGUUUAUUAAAUUUUUAGUAUUUAUUUACUAAUCUCGAUUUAGGUUGAUUUACAAAUAAAUUAAAGUUAAUGUGUCAUAAUUAUUUUUAAUUUAUUUGUAGAAAUGAAAUGUUAAUCGUUUCCUAAUAUAUCUAGUUUCUUAAGAAAAAAAUUUAAUUUUUUAAAGUUAAUAGUUUUUAUUUACUUUUUUAUAUAGAAAUGUUAACUUAUUUAUUCUUUAGGGGAUAAGCUCUAGAGUUUUCCUAUAAUUUUAUUAAUUUUGAUUUAAUAGUAAGCUUUAAACCAGCUAUCUUUAAGAUUACGUUUUAGUUCAUUAUUUUUAUUUUUGAUUUUAUAAUUAUUUUAGGUUUUUUAUUAAGAUUAUAAAUUUAAUUUUUAAAUUUUUGUAAUAAUGAUAGAAUUAGUAUAUUUAUUUGUAUAUAAUUUUUACCUUGUUAAUUUAUUAUAAGGAACUAGGCAAAAUUGAUUUCCGCCUGUUUAUCAAAAACAU